rnacentral:rRNA from 1 species
UACGGGGGGGAGCAAGCGUUGUUCGGAUUUACUGGGCGUAAAGGGCGCGUAGGCGGUCAGCACAAGUCAGUUGUGAAAUCUCCGGGCUUAACUCGGAAAGGUCAACUGAUACUGUGCGACUAGAGUGCGGAAGGGGCAACUGGAAUUCUCGGUGUAGCGGUGAAAUGCGUAGAUAUCAGGAGGAACACCGGUGGCGAAGGCGGGUCUCUGGGCCGAUACUGACGCUGAGGAGCGAAAGCGUGGGGAGCGAACAGG